rnacentral:rRNA from 1 species
GAUGAACGCUGACAGAAUGCUUAACACAUGCAAGUCAACUUGAACUUCGGUUUGGGUGGCGGACGGGUGAGUAACGCGUAAAGAACUUGCCUCACAGAUAGGGACAACAUUUGGAAACGAAUGCUAAUAGCAGAUAUUAUGAUAUAAGGGCAACCAAGGAUUAUGAAAUCUAUAUGCGCUGUGAGAGAGCUUUGCGUCCCAUUAGCUAGUUGGAGAGGUAACGGCUCACCAGGGCGAUGAUGGGUAGCCGGCCUGAGAGGUUAAUCGGCCACAAGGGGACGGAGAAACGGCCCUUACCCCUCCGGGAGGAAGCGGUGGGAAAUAUUGGAAAAUGGACCAAGAGUCUUGUCGAGCAGUUCUGUGUGCACGAUGAAGUUUUUCGGAAUAUAAAGUUUUUUCAGUUGGGGAGAAAAAAAUGACGGUACCAGCAGAAAAAGUAACGGCUAAAUACGUG